CUCUCCAACAGCCAUCAGCCCAGAAUGUCCUGAAGUCAGAACAUCUAAAAGAUAAUCUGGGAAUCCUUUCUUCCUCGUGGAGCUUUCUAAAGAUGAGUUGGAUAUUCAAUGUGAUGUUUGGAUAUAGAUAUAUAUUAUUUAAGAAAUUUGUGUUCAUUGUUUUCGUUAACAUGUAUGUUUUUAUUUUUAUAUGAAGGCUAUUUAUCUAUUCAGCAGGAGCCGUUGUUUUGUAUUCAUACUGUUUGUAGACAAUAGCUUCUGCCCUCUUGGGUUCUAUUUGACUCUCUUAUCGUGUCAAAACUACUCUGACUAGAAACUAUGAUUGGAAACUAUGAUUAGAAACUAUGACAAACUAUGAUCAAACGAUGAUAAGAAACUAUGACCAACGUUGAAGCCAUGUCUGUGGGUGUGAUGAUCUAUUAUGUCAUUGUGUAAUACUACUGUCUCGCUCUCUCUUUCUACUACCUCCUUAGACAAUGACAUCAAAUUAAUAUAAUGUGCUAUAUAGUGUGCAUCUGCGAUAACUUUAUGUAAUAGAUUCUCUCUCUCUCUCUUUCUCUCUCUCUCAAUUCAAUUCAAUUCAAUGGGCUUUAUUGGCAUGGUAAACAUAUGUUAACAUUGCCUUAGCAAGUGAAGUAGAUGAUAAACAAAAGUGAAAAAAACUUCUCUCUCUCUCUCUCGCUGAUAAAAUACAAAUUACAAGACAUUAACUCCUGAGUGUUGAAUUUAUGCCCACUCUAUAGCCACCCUGGUUAAUAUCUGACCUUGCGGAUCAUCUAUCAGUGUUGGAUCAUCUUGAAUAACAGUAAGGGGCACAUGUUCUCUUAAAUGUGCACCCAGCACAGCUCUCGGAGCGCUGUUCCUCUCUAUGUUUAAUCCUAGUUUAUGACUUAUAGGGAGUGUUUACUAGAUGCUGUGCUUCAGCAUAUUCAUUGAUUAGUCUUAGGUUUUUAGGCUGGAUAUGUGUAAAACACUUUGUGACAAAUGCCGAUGCAAAAAAAAGGGUUUUAAGAAACACAUUUGGGUGAUUGACAGAUAUAUUAUUAUACAAAUAUGACAUUAUUAUUUUUAUUAUCAUGAUUAUUAUUAUUUGUUACAGGUGAGACAUACCCAGAAAUGUCAAGGUUUCACAAACAUAAAACAACUAUCUAGUUCAUGUUUCUCAGACUUACACACUGUUGAGUUUCCUAUUUACUAAAGAACAAUCAUUAAGAUAAAACACAAAAAGUUGUAAUAUAAUCGGUUUACAUGUCAUUUUAUACUGAAAACAGGUACAUUCUGAAAGAUUUUUAUUCACAUCUCAAUUUGGGACAAUAGUGUUAAUUUUUAUUUUACUUAAAUUGUAUUAUUUAUGUUGUCUAAUACCAUGCUAAUACACUCCCAAGCAAUGCAAGCAGAUGUGGAAUUAAACCCCAUUCACAGUCUUUUUGGAUUUUUUUUAACCUUUAUUUAACUAGGCAAGUCAGUUAAGAACAAAUUCUUAUUUUCAAUGACAGCCUAGGAACAGUGGGUUAACUGCCUGUUCAGGGGCAGAACGACAGAUUUGUACGACAGAUUUAAACAUACAUUUACAAUUAUUCAAAGUUUACUAUGCAAUAAAAAAUCUAUUAAACUAAAGCGUUUUUUUUUCUAAACCUUUAUAGCAGGUGUAUCUCACUGAUCAUCCCUAAAGCCAACACCUCAUUUGGCCGCCUUUCAUUCCAGUUCUCUGCUGCCUGUGACUGGAACAAAUUGCAAAAAUCGCUGAAGUUGGAGACUUUUAUCUCCUUCACCAACUUCAAACAUCUGCUAUCUGAGCAGCUAACCGAUCGCUGCAGAGGUACAUAGUCUAUCGAAGGACAGAGAGAGAGAGAGAUUUAAUUCAUUGAAGGUACUGGGACUCUGACGAACCAAACAACCAUGGGCCUAAUGGUGAAAUAGAAAACUGUGUCCUAUUUGGUCAACACUGUUCCAGAGAUAAAAAAUUAUUGGUUUGACUGUCCAUGUGUUGAACCAUUAACAGAAUCUGGGAGAGUCAUUCAGUCUGCAAAAGUCAGCAGCCACUCCAUAGUGCUGCCAAAUGCAGUGUAUUGAAUGAGUAACCAGCACAAGGCACCGUAUUGUUGGGUAGCACAGCGUAAAAGGCCAGUUUCCUAGACACAGAUUUAAACCUUCCAGACUAAGAAGAAGAUCCCAUGGAGAUUCUCUAUUUCAAGUAGUUAAAACCUGUUGCGCCGAGCAAUCCCGUAUCCGGGAUCCUAUUUAUAGCCUCAAGCUCAUUAGCAUAA